rnacentral:rRNA from 1 species
GCGAAAGUAAGACUGAUACCCAAUGAUAUCUCUAGAAGACAUCUGAAAGAGAUUAAAGAUUUAUCGGUGAUGGAUGGGGAUGCGUCUGAUUAGCUUGUUGGCGGGGUAACGGCCCACCAAGGCAACGAUCAGUAGGGGUUCUGAGAGGAAGGUCCCCCACAUUGGAACUGAGACACGGUCCAAACUCCUACGGGAGGCAGCAGUGAGGAAUAUUGGUCAAUGGACGAGAGUCUGAACCAGCCAAGUAGCGUGCAGGAUGACGGCCCUAUGGGUUGUAAACUGCUUUUAUAAGGGAAUAAAGUGAGUCUCGUGAGACUUUUUGCAUGUACCUUAUGAAUAAGGACCGGCUAAUUCCGUGCCAGCAGCCGCGGUAAUACGGAAGGUCCGGGCGUUAUCCGGAUUUAUUGGGUUUAAAGGGAGCGUAGGCCGGAGAUUAAGCGUGUUGUGAAAUGUAGACGCUCAACGUCUGCACUGCAGCGCGAACUGGUUUCCUUGAGUACGCACAAAGUGGGCGGAAUUCGUGGUGUAGCGGUGAAAUGCUUAGAUAUCACGAAGAACUCCGAUUGCGAAGGCAGCUCACUGGAGCGCAACCGACGCUGAAGCUCGAAAGUGCGGGUAUCGAACAGGAUUAGAUACCCUGGUAGUCCGCACGGUAAACGAUGGAUGCCCGCUGUUGGUCUGAAUAGGUCAGCGGCCAAGCGAAAGCAUUAAGCAUCCCACCUGGGGAGUACGCCGGCAACGGUGAAACUCAAAGGAAUUGACGGGGGCCCGCACAAGCGGAGGAACAUGUGGUUUAAUUCGAUGAUACGCGAGGAACCUUACCCGGGCUUGAAUUGCAGAGGAAGGAUUUGGAGACAAUGACGCCCUUCGGGGCCUCUGUGAAGGUGCUGCAUGGUUGUCGUCAGCUCGUGCCGUGAGGUGUCGGCUUAAGUGCCAUAACGAGCGCAACCCCUCUCCUUAGUUGCCAUCAGGUCAAGCUGGGCACUCUGGGGACACUGCCACCGUAAGGUGUGAGGAAGGUGGGGAUGACGUCAAAUCAGCACGGCCCUUACGUCCGGGGCUACACACGUGUUACAAUGGCAGGUACAGAGAGACGGUCCCUUGCAAAAUGGAUCAAAUCCUUAAAACCUGUCUCAGUUCGGACUGGGGUCUGCAACCCGACCCCACGAAGCUGGAUUCGCUAGUAAUCGCGCAUCAGCCAUGGCGCGGUGAAUACGUUCCCGGGCCUUGCACA